ensembl:misc_RNA Metazoa_SRP Metazoan signal recognition particle RNA
GCCGGGCGUGGUGGCUCACGCCUGUAAUCCCAGCACUUUGGGAGGCUGAGAUAGGUGGAUCACUUGAGGUCAGGAGUUCGAGACAAGCCUGGCCAACAUGGUGAAACCCCAUCUCUA